rnacentral:rRNA from 1 species
AGUGAACGCUGGCGGCGUGCUUAACACAUGCAAGUCGAACGAGAACGGAUUAUAGCUUGCUAUAAUUGACAGCUAAGUAGCGCACGGGUGAGUAAUGUAUAGGUAAUAUGCCUCUUACUAAGGGAUAACAAAUGGAAACGUUUGCUAAUACCUUAUACUCCUUAUUAACAGAAGUUAAUAAGGGAAAGAUUUAUUGGUAAGAGAUUAGCCUGUAUUGUAUCAGUUAGUUGGUGGGGUAAUGGCUUACCAAGACUAUGACACAUAACUGGUUUGAGAGGAUGAUCAGUCACACUGGAACUGAGACACGGUCCAGACUCCUGCGGGAGGCAGCAGUGGGGAAUAUUGCACAAUGGACGAAAGUCUGAUGCAGCAACGCCGCGUGGAGGAUGACACAUUUCGGUGCGUAAACUCCUUUUAUAUGAGAAGAUAAUGACGGUAUUAUAUGAAUAAGCACCGGCUAACUCCGUGCCAGCAGCCGCCGUAA